rnacentral:rRNA from 1 species
UACGGAGGGUGCAAGCGUUAUCCGGAUUUACUGGGUUUAAAGGGUGCGUAGGUGGGUUGGUAAGUCAGUGGUGAAAUACUUUCGCUUAACGAAGGAACUGCCAUUGAUACUACCGGUCUUGAAUACAGUGGAGGUAAGCGGAAUGCGUCAUGUAGCGGUGAAAUGCUUAGAUAUGACGCAGAACACCAAUUGCGAAGGCAGCUUGCUACACUGUUAUUGACACUGAGGCACGAAAGCGUGGGGAUCAAACAGG